UGGAAACACCUCGUCUAUCUUGGUGCACUGGUUCAACCGAGCCGUAGGGGAAGAGAAGGUGUCUUCCAGUCCUUCCGCCGACGAGACAAGAAGGUCCGCGUGACGCCGCCGCUAAGGAGUGGCCGCUCUACAGAUGUCUGCCGGAGCUCGAGCUACCCUUCACCCCUCGUCUGUAGCGGCCUACCUUAACAGGGUACCGUUAUGAGCCACCGGACGUGGUUCAAACGAUAGUGUACCCGACACUAAGCUUUGUCGUGUCCACUGUCUUAGGGUACGCUGGGCUAGGUGGGAGCCGAAUGGAACACCUCGUCUGUCUCGGUGCCCUGUCGAAAGGGAGGGGUCAGGGCAGAGAAGGGGUAUGCGCGUCCCCGCCGUUACCGAGACGAGACCGCUCUACAGGUGACUGCCACACCUCGAGUUGACCCCGCAACGGCCGGGCCGCCCUACCUCACCAAGGCGGAGGGCCACCUCAGGGUUCUAAGGUACUCACUGCCCCGGCCGUCCGUGUAGGUACACUUCUACUUCUAGCUAUGCUUUACACGAGAUUUCGAUGGUCACCGACCUGUGCUUCGUAGGUACAACUAUAGCACGGCGGGUACCGGCACUACCAGGGUCACUUCAGUGCCCGAAGUUACUCUUUGCGGCUGCCUGUUUAUACGGCGCCACUGCCCAAGCUCUACACGAAACCUCGAUGACCGCCGACCUGUUUUCCACUCAGAAUACUAAUAAUAAAUACCUAUACCUUUCUACUCCAGGAACGCAUAUAGAAGGCAAACGUUCUACUUGAACAGUACCGCACGGCGAAAGCCAGACCAGUAAUUAGUGCGGCACCUAACAUCUUUUAAUAAACCUUUAUCGCGUUGUCUCACCAUAAGCUACCACUUCGUCGGUGGGUGCGACUCACCGAUUCCUUCGAGUUCUUUCUAAAACACUAGAAUCCAAUGUCCUAGUCGGGAGUUUUAAAUUGUAAAAAUCUUCCAAAAUCGUAAAUAAACAGACAGACUAGAGGACAAAAUGUAUCCGAUCAAGUCACGAAUGACAUAAGAUCAUUUUUCGGUACAUUUUGUUGGUAUAGGGAUUACAAUUGGUAUCCAAUUGUAAAAUUAUUUUUUCCUCAGAGAGGACGACAAAAGUGACCAGUUUUUUUUUUCUUAGGCAACAAUACAGACUUUAUUCGGGGACGACGGAAGUUUGACACUCAAGGAAUAGUGACACUAUUCGACACGACGCCCAUUUGAGUUACGUUAAACAUGUAUACCUAAUAUCUGUAUAGGAAUCACACACGAGUACUUUUAUUUAAAGCACAAAUGCAGAAUAAAACAAUUGGUUACACGGUAGUUAAAUAUGUACACGGUUGUAAAAAAGGAAUAACAACAUAUUGGGUGACACGGUUGUUAACAAUUGGUUCAGUUAAAUAAAACAAUCGCAACAUGUUAAAAAAACAACACGGAUAAAAAGUAGACUAGUAUGUACAAAAACCAACACCUCAGACAAUGCGGUUUUCGUCUGACUUACAGCUCUCCUGUUUUACAUACGUUCUCGAACAAACGCCGCAUUGAUACUGGUAGGCUCGGAUUAAAGGAGGUCGUUUUCUACAUACUUUGUUUCUGUAAUGACGAAGUGGUAACAUACGAAAGACAUUGCCUGACAAACACAGUAGAUAAGUCAACCUUUUUGACAUCAAAGCCGAACAAGGACAAUUUUAGGGUCUUUUAAAUUAUAACCAGUAAAACAUACCGACAUAAACGUUUAGGUAAGACGAAUCGACACGACGACUAUUUUAGUACGGACCAUACACUCCCACCCGGAACUCCAAAAGACCCGGAGUACAAAAGACCCAUAUAUACAAUUAACCGUAGUAACUAAACUUGGUUAUAAACACUUUAAACGCACCACCAAAUAUGGGACCACUAACCAUAAAAUCUUUUACACAAGCAAAAAGACGAGCGAUACAACCGACCACAAACUUAAAAC
rnacentral:rRNA from 1 species